GCUGAGUUAGAAUAGUGGUUAGUUCGCCAGUUUCUCAAGCUGGACACCAGGGUUCAAUUCCCUGACUCAGUAC
rnacentral:tRNA from 1 species